GACGAACGCUGGCGGCGUGCCUAAUACAUGCAAGUAGAACGCUGAAGAGAGGAGCUUGCUCUUCUUGGAUGAGUUGCGAACGGGUGAGUAACGCGUAGGUAACCUGCCUUGUAGCGGGGGAUAACUAUUGGAAACGAUAGCUAAUACCGCAUAACAAUGGAUGACACAUGUCAUUUAUUUGAAAGGGGCAAUAGCUCCACUACAAGAUGGACCUGCGUUGUAUUAGCUAGUAGGUGAGGUAAUGGCUCACCUAGGCGACGAUACAUAGCCGACCUGAGAGGGUGAUCGGCCACACUGGGACUGAGACACGGCCCAGACUCCUACGGGAGGCAGCAGUAGGGAAUCUUCGGCAAUGGGGGCAACCCUGACCGAGCAACGCCGCGUGAGUGAAGAAGGUUUUCGGAUCGUAAAGCUCUGUUGUAAGUCAAGAACGGGUGUGAGAGUGGAAAGUUCACACUGUGACGGUAGCUUACCAGAAAGGGACGGCUAACUACGUG
rnacentral:rRNA from 1 species